rnacentral:rRNA from 1 species
CCUACGGGUGGCUGCAGUGGGGAAUCUUGCGCAAUGGACGAAAGUCUGACGCAGCGACGCCGCGUGGGUGAUGAAGGCCUUCGGGUUGUACAGCCCUGUGGGGAGAGACGAAUAAGCCGUGGCUAACAUCCACGGUGAUGACGGUAUCUCCUUAGCAAGCACCGGCUAACUCUGUGCCAGCAGCCGCGGUAAGACAGAGGGUGCAAACGUGCUUCGGAAUUACUUGGGGGAAAGCGCAUGUCGGAUGUCAAAGCCCUCGGCUCAACCAAGGAAGUGCAUUCGAAACCGCAUGGCUGGAGGCCCGGAGAGGAAGGUGGAAUUCUCGGUGUAGAGGUGAAAUUCGUAGAUAUCGAGAGGAACAUCGGCGGCGAAAGCGGCCUUCUGGACGAGGACUGACGCUGAGAUGCGAAAGCGUGGGGAGCAAACAGGAUUAGAUACCCGUGUAGUC